UACGGAGGGCGCGAGCGUUGUCCGGAAUCAUUGGGCGUAAAGGGCGCGUAGGUGGCGGGACAAGCGUGCGGUGAAAGCCUGGGGCUCAACCCCGGGUCGGCCGUGCGAACUGUUUUGCUUGAGCACUGUAGAGGCAGGCGGAAUUCCGGGUGUAGCGGUGGAAUGCGUAGAGAUCCGGAAGAACACCGGUGGCGAAGGCGGCCUGCUGGGCAGUAGCUGACACUGAGGCGCGACAGCGUGGGGAGCAAACAGG
rnacentral:rRNA from 1 species